rnacentral:rRNA from 1 species
GACGAACGCUGGCGGCGUGCUUAACACAUGCAAGUCGAGCGGUAAGGCCCUUUCGGGGGUACACGAGCGGCGAACGGGUGAGUAACACGUGGGUGACCUGCCCUCAGCUCUGGGAUAAGCCUGGGAAACUGGGUCUAAUACUGGAUAUGACUCCACGGUGCAUGUCGUGGGGUGGAAAGCCUUGUGCGGCUGAGGAUGGGCCCGCGGCCUAUCAGCUUGUUGGUGGGGGAUGGCCUACCAAGGCGACGACGGGUAGCCGGCCUGAGAGGGCGACCGGCCACACUGGGACUGAGACACGGCCCAGACUCCUACGGGAGGCAGCAGUGGGGAAUCUUGCGCAAUGGGCGAAAGCCUGACGCAGCGACGCCGCGUGA